rnacentral:rRNA from 1 species
UAUAGCUUUUUUCCCAGAAUGUGCCCGAUCUCAUCUGAUCUUGAGAAGCUAAGCAGGGUUGAGCCUAGAUCGUGCAUGGAUGGGGCGACCUCCAUGCAUAACAGCUGCCGAAGGCUGCGA